CCUUGAUUUAAAUCUCUCCUGUAAAAACUUAAAGUUUCUCUCAUAAAAGUAAACAUACGUAUACUCCUUUAGGGAGUCCCUGAAAUUUAGCUUCAUGUUCGAUGUCAGGACAGAUUCAGCUGUUCAGCUUUGGCAAUAACUUGAGGCCUGCUUCAAUAUGAUUUAUGUCAUACCUGAACUUACAUGUCAUCAUCAGUUAUUUAUUUGUGUUGGUACCAUCUGUACUAGUUGAUUCUCACGCUGCUAUAAAGGACUACCCGAGACUGGGUAAUGUAUAAAGGAAAGAGGUUUAAUUGACUCAGAGUUCUGCAUGGCUGGGAGGCCCCAGGAAACUUAUAAUCAUGGCAGAAGGGGAAGCAAACACAUCCUUCACAUGGUGGCAGGAGAGAGAAGUGCAGAGCGAAGCGGGGAAAAGCCCCUUAUAAAACCAUCAGAUCUCGUGGGAACUCACUCAUUAUCAGGAGAACAGCACUGGGGGACUGCCCCCGUGAUCUGAUCACCUCCCACAAGGUUCCACCCCAGCACCUGGGAAUCACAACUUGGUUUACAAUUCAAGAUGAGAUUUUGGGUGGGGACACAGCCAGACCAUAUCAUCAUUUCUAAUUUCUGUGAAAAUCGUAAA
rnacentral:lncRNA from 10 species